GUAUUAGACUAAACUGUGAAUAUUUCAAGUGCCAUAAUUAACAAUUUACGAUAAUCAAAUUUUAUGGCUCAGUAUAUUUAGCUUAAUUAGCUAGAGGAAUAAGCCAAAACUUGAAAAGAAAAAUAUGAGAAAUAGAUAACCCAAAGGUUCAGCAAUCUCGAGAGUAAAAGAAAGAAACCAUAAAACAAUCCUCUGAAAACGAACAACACAGUUGCAUACUACAAAAUAUCAAAAAGCAGAUUGCUUCAUAGCUAAAACGGUGGGGCUUUAGAUUUACUCCUCGUCAUCACCGUCUGCAUCACCACCACCAGAGGCUUUCUUGGAGGCAGACUUCUCGUUCCUUCUCUUCACUCUUCCUGGACGGCCACCACCGAAGGGACUGGUCAGAGCAAAGUCGAUGUGCUUCUGUGAAUCAAGUCUCACCAUGAAUGAUGGAAUGUUCACCAAUUGCUUUCCAACCCUACAGCAACACCACCCAAACAAAGAUAAGUAACCAAUAUUUAGAGCCAGAUCAAAACAUUCUUCAGGGGUUUCAACAUUGAGCCACUAACGAGAUACAUAAGGUGUCAAUACAAGAAAGGGUGAAAUCAUUCAAAUGACAAGUGUGAGAACAAAUACAGUGUUUGAAGAUGUGUAACACAAAGGGUGAAAUCAUUCAAAUGAAAAUAGAAAAAAUGUUAGUUUCAAUUCGGAUCCAUCCAUUUGAUAUCAUAAAGAUAAAACUCAUACUCAUGCACAAAUGAAUCACAGAGAUGCACUACCUGAUAUGCCUCUGCCUGAUGAGGACACGAGAGUGAUGGAUAGACUUAGCCAUACCAGACUUGAACACAAUAGUCUGAAGACGACGUUCAAGAAAGUUCUCAACAGUCAAAGCCAAGACGUAAUCGAGCUUGUUCUGACUCUCAUCAAGAAGCCCGUAACGGUUCAUCCUACGGAGAAGAGCCUCACCCUCAAAGAUCCUUUUUGGACUCUUCUCAUCAAGAGUCAAAAGAUCCCUAGCAGCAUUACGGAUACGGCUAAGAGAAUACUGCACUCUCCAGAG
rnacentral:lncRNA from 1 species